GAUGAAGAACGCAGCGAAAUGCGAUAAGUAAUGUGAAUUGCAGAAUUCAGUGAAUCAUCGAAUCUUUGAACGCACAUUGCGCCCGCUAGUAUUCUGGCGGGCAUGCCUGUCCGAGCGUCAUUUCAACCCUCAAGCCCCCGGGUUUGGUGUUGGGGAUCGGCUCUGCCCUUCUGGGCGGUGCCGCCCCCGAAAUACAUUGGCGGUCUCGCUGCAGCCUCCAUUGCGUAGUAGCUAACACCUCGCAACUGGAACGCGGCGCGGCCAUGCCGUAAAACCCCAACUUCUGAAUGUUGACCUCGGAUCAGGUAGGAAUACCCGCUGAACUUAAGCAUAUCAAUAAGCGGAGGA
rnacentral:misc_RNA from 1 species